AGUUCAGUGGUAGAACACCACCUUGCCAAGGUGGGGGUCGCGGGUUCGAAUCCCGUCGUUCGCU
rnacentral:tRNA from 1 species